rnacentral:rRNA from 1 species
AUAGGGCGUUUAGUUGCUGGGUAUAGACCCGAAACCAGGCGAUCUAUCCAUGAGCAGGUUGAAGGUUGGGUAACACUAACUGGAGGACCGAACCCACUGUCGUUGAAAAGCCAGGGGAUGACUUGUGGAUAGGGGUGAAAGGCUAAUCAAGCCUGGUGAUAGCUGGUUCUCCCCGAAAGCUAUUUAGGUAGCGCCUCGGACGAAUACCAUAGGGGGUAGAGCACUGUUUCGGCUAGGGGGUCAUCCCGACUUACCAAACCGAUGCAAACUCCGAAUACCUAUGAGUACUAUCCGGGAGACAGACUGCGGGUGCUAACGUCCGUAGUCAAGAGGAAAACAAUCCAGACCGCCAGCUAAGGCCCCAAAAUCAUAGUUAAGUGGGAAACGAUGUGGGAAGGCAUAGACAGCUAGGAGGUUGGCUUAGAAGCAGCCACCCUUUAAAGAAAGCGUAAUAGCUCACUAGUCGAGUCGGCCUGCGCGGAAGAUGUAACGGGGCUAAAACUAUGUGCCGAAGCUGCGGAUGUAUACUUUGUAUACGUGGUAGGGGAGCGUUCUGUAAGCCGAUGAAGGUGUGUUGAGAAGCAUGCUGGAGGUAUCAGAAGUGCGAAUGCUGACGUGAGUAACGACAAAACGGGUGAAAAACCCGUUCGCCGAAAGACCAAGGGUUCCAGUCCAACGUUAAUCGGGGCUGGGUGAGUCGACCCCUAAGGCGAGGCCGAAAGGCGUAGUCGAUGGGAAAAUGGUUAAUAUUCCAUUACUUCUGUGUAAUGCGAUGAGAGGACGGAGAAGGCUAAAUCAGCCUGGCG